rnacentral:misc_RNA from 1 species
AGAAGACAAACUUCAAGAUCGCUGCUACAGAACUCAUCAUUACGACCGAGACAUGCGAAGAGACUGGAGUUCCACUGAGCCCGAUCCAUUGGCUCACCUACAACGCCACCGUUACCCAACGGCAACCCAUUAGCUGUCCACCCAUAUUCAGGCAAGCCCAAUUCCAGCGCCGCGGAUUUUUGAACAGGAGAUGCGGCGACUUUGGUGUUGGAAAUCUUUGUGGGUUUGCUGUCGUGUUCUUGGAGGCUCUUGUUCAAGAGAGGAUUCGAUUCGUCGUGAUCUCUGCAGUCGUUGAGUCUGGAGUUCGUGGUGGUCGUAGCCGUAUCGUUAGCCAUUUCGAAGAGGGAGAGAGAGAGAGAGA